rnacentral:misc_RNA from 1 species
GAUGAAGAACGUAGCGAAAUGCGAUACUUGGUGUCAAUUGCAGAAUCCCGUGAACCAUCGAGUCUUUGAACGCAAGUUGCGCCCGAAGCCAUUAGGCCGAGGGCACGCCUGCCUGGGUGUCACACGUCGUUGCCCCCCCAUCUACUCCUUCGGGAUUGCGGGGGGCGGAUGAUGGCCUCCCGUGCGCCUCGUCGCGCGGUUGGCAUAAAUGCCAAGUCCUCAGCGACGCACGCCACGACAAUCGGUGGUUGCGAAACCUCGGUUGCCCGUCGUGUGCGGUCGUCGCGCAUCGAGGGCUCGAAAAAAUUGCCGGGCUCCGGCUCGGCUUUCAACGCGACCCCAGGUCAGGCGGGGUUACCCGCUGAAUUUAAGCAUAUCAAUAAGCGGAGGA